GAUUCUGUCCGCCCCGCUUUCAGAGCCCCGCGUUUCUCCGACUCUGGCUCCGCCUCUCGCCCUUGGCGCUGCCCUGAGACCCGUGCCCAGGGUGGGUCUCAAGGCCCCAUCACCUGGUCCCACCUCAGCUGGGCACACAGGUACCUACCUACCUACCCGGCCUUCUCCCUGAGAUUCUCCACUUCCUCCCCUGCUGGUCGGAUGACUCCUAGGGCACCAUCCUUACCUGAGGAAGCCACGUCUGCUGGAAUUGGAGCCCGCACGUUGCCACCGGGACCCCAGCCAGCCCCAGGAUGGCCCCAGACGCACUGACCGCACCCUUGCACAGAGCCCUGGGAUUGCACGCUGCUUGUAAAUCUACUCAUCUGUAAAAUGGGAAUAAUAAUACACUCCCUCUGGGAGCUGUUGUGAG